AGUUCUUGAGACCUUUUUGAAAAGGCCUGUGGGCAGGAUGUCCAAGCAGCAAGAGGAGGAGUUCAACUCACUUAUGAUAUCGCCUAGAUCUUUGCUGCUAAUGGGACUAAACUGUGUCAUGGUGUUUAAGCUAGUUUUCAAUGGACACAGUAUAUUUAUUGAACCUAGAGUAGAUAACACAUGUA